rnacentral:rRNA from 1 species
GUGGGGAAUAUUGGGCAAUGGGGGAAACCCUGACCCAGCAACGCCGCGUGAGGGAACAAGGUUUUCGGAUUGUAAACCUCUGUCCUUGGUGACGAAGGAAGUGACGGUAACCAAGGAGGAAGCCCCGGCUAACUACGUGCCAGCAGCCGCGGUAAUACGUAGGGGGCAAGCGUUGUCCGGAAUGACUGGGCGUAAAGGGCGUGUAGGCGGCCGAUUAAGUCUGGAGUGAAAGUCCUGCUUUCAAGGUGGGAAUUGCUUUGGAGACUGGUUGGCUUGAGUGCGGAAGAGGUAAGUGGAAUUCCCAGUGUAGCGGUGAAAUGCGUAGAGAUUGGGAGGAACACCAGUGGCGAAGGCGACUUACUGGGCCGUAACUGACGCUGAGGCGCGAAAGCGUGGGGAGCGAACAGGAUUAGAUACCCUUGUAGUCC